rnacentral:tRNA from 1 species
GCGGGAGUGGCGGAAUUUGGCAGACGCGCUAGACUUAGGAUCUAGUGUCAUUGACGUGGGGGUUCGAGUCCCUUCUCCCGCACCA